rnacentral:lncRNA from 12 species
GGGACCCCAGAGGGAAGGCUCUGGAACACUCUUCAUUGCUGCAGCAGCGCUGAUUGCCAGUGAGAGCCAUGGAAAUGCUCUGCUCCUGCUGUUAAACACUUUGGAGAUGCUGACACAACCAGG